GACGAACGCUGGCGGCGUGCCUAAUACAUGCAAGUAGGACGCAGUUGCGAACGGGUGAGUAACGCGUAGGUAACUGCAUAAUAGAGGGGGAUGACUAUUGGUAACGAUAGCUAAUACCGCAUACUAGUAGCUGGUCGUGCGGUGUAUUAGCUAGUAGGGAGGGUAAUGGCCUAACAAGGGAACGAUAUAUAGCCGAGCGGAGGGGGCGGUGGGGUACACUGGGACGGGGAAACGGGCCAGACGCCUACGGGAGGCAGCAGUAGGGGAACUUCGGGAAAGGGGGGAAACCUGACCGAGCAACGCCGGGUGAGUGAAGGAGGUUUUCGGAUCGUAAAGCUCUGUUGUUUAGGUAGCGGUACUUAACCAGAAAGGGACGGCUAACUACGUGCCAGCAGCCGCGGUAAUAC
rnacentral:rRNA from 1 species